GAUGAACGCUGGCGGCGUGCCUAAUACAUGCAAGUCGAGCGAACGGACGAGAAGCUUGCUUCUCUGAUGUUAGCGGCGGACGGGUGAGUAACACGUGGAUAACCUACCUAUAAGACUGGGAUAACUUCGGGAAACCGGAUCUAAUACCGGAUGAUAUUUUGAACCGCAUGGUUCAAAAGUGAAAGACGGUCUUGCUGUCACUUAUAGAUGGAUCCGCGCUGCAUUAGCUAGUUGGUAAGGUAACGGCUUACCAAGGCAACGAUGCAUAGCCGACCUGAGAGGGUGAUCGGCCACACUGGAACUGAGACACGUUCCAGACUCCUACGGGAGGCAGCAGUAGGGAAUCUUCCGCAAUGGGCGAAGGCCUGACGGAGCAACGCCGCGUGAGUGAUGAAGGUCUUCGGAUCGUAAAACUCUGUUAUUAGGGAAGAACAUAUGUGUAAGUAACUGUGCACAUCUUGACGGUACCUAAUCAGAAAGCCACGGCUAACUACGUG
rnacentral:rRNA from 1 species